UACAGAGGGUGCAAGCGUUAAUCGGAAUUACUGGGCGUAAAGCGCGCGUAGGUGGUUUGUUAAGUUGGAUGUGAAAGCCCCGGGCUCAACCUGGGAACUGCAUUCAAAACUGACAAGCUAGAGUAUGGUAGAGGGUGGUGGAAUUUCCUGUGUAGCGGUGAAAUGCGUAGAUAUAGGAAGGAACACCAGUGGCGAAGGCGACCACCUGGACUGAUACUGACACUGAGGUGACGAAAGCGUGGGGAGCAAACAGG
rnacentral:rRNA from 1 species